AUACGGAGGUUGCAAGCGUUAAUCGGAAUUACUGGGCGUAAAGAGUACGUAGGUGGUUUAUUAAGUCAGAUGUGAAAGCCCCGGGCUCAACCUGGGAACUGCAUUUGAAACUAGUAAACUAGAGUAUGGUAGAGGGGGGUAGAAUUUCUAGUGUAGCGGUGAAAUGCGUAGAUAUUAGAAGGAAUGCCAGUGGCGAAGGCGGCCCCCUGGACCAAUACUGACACUGAGGUACGAAAGCGUGGGUAGCGAACAGGAUUAGAUACCCUAGUAGUCC
rnacentral:rRNA from 1 species